rnacentral:snRNA from 1 species
AAGCUUGCGCGUGACAGUAUUGUAGCCAAUGAGGUUUAUCCAAGGUGCGAUUAUCGCUAAUUGAAAGAAAAUUCCUCUUUAAAGAAAACAUUGACUAGAAAUAGU